rnacentral:lncRNA from 1 species
UGGGCUUCUCAAAAGAAAUGUUUAGCUUAACAACAAGAGAUUGAUUCUCUGUAUAUCUCUAAGAUAAUAUAUUCUAAGGUAUUUGCACCUAGAUAAUAAAAUACACUGGAUUCUCCCUCCUUUCCUCUCAUUGCUCUGCAAGCAUACUAUUUGUGUGAAUAGAUUAACAAAAAGCAUGACAUUGUAUGUGAUACAAGGACUAUUAAAUUUCGAUGUUAGAAAGAAA